UACCCAAAUUUCGUUUGGGAGACUUGCACAGACUGGUACAAAAGCUUUUGGGCACACCAGCCUCCAAACUCGACAAAGACUACAAGUUCUUGUUCUGGAACAAUACCUUUUCGAUUAUGAAGUUUCCACUGGAUAACAAAGAGGACCCCGUGGCUCUGGAGUGCCUGGCGUGUCCUUGUGCUGCAGCUGUAGACCCUGCUGCCUGUUCCUGGUUC